CAUAAAGUGUGAACCAGUGACCUGGAUUCAACAGAUUAGUUUUAAACUGUCUGUGAGAAUUAUUUUAGCCAAAUGAGCAAUAAUAAUAUUUUUAGUCCUGUCCAAAAACCGUGCCAGCAGUCGCGGUAAUACGGUGAGGGCCACCCAUCGGGAUCUUAAGUAGGCGUAUAGCGUGUGCAGCUUGUGUUUUUAACGCUUGAGUUUUAUCGGGGCAAAACCCACACACGGAGUAGGGCUGAAAUCCAAUGAAACCGUGGUGAGGGCCAAAGGCGAAGGCACUUUGCCAGAUGAAUACUGACAGUGAGGCACGACAGCCAGGAAAGGGAAGCCGAUUAGAGACCGGCGUACUCCAGGCCGUAAACUAUGCAGACCCAACUUUUGUUUUUAAUGAGUUAAUGACUAUCAAUAAUGGAAGUUGCCGCUAACGCUUUGAGUCUGCCGCCAGCAUGGUACAGCCGCAAGGCCGACACGCAAACGACGAGACCGUCUGUGGUAUUAAUCGGGUGCGGGGCAUGCUGUUUAAUCCGUCAAUACGCGUAAAAUCUUACCAUGUCUUGAAUAUUAACUUUAAAUUUAACUUUUCAUAAGUUAAGUUAAUACAGGUGUUGCAUGGCUGUCGUCAGCUAGUGCUUGUGAGGCGUAAGGUUUGGUCCAUUUAACUAGCGCAAACCCCACUGUUUUUUAUUUCUGUACAGUCCUUAUUUUAUGCAGAUUAGGUGUUGGGGGAGCAUGACAAGCCGGCAUGGCCCUUAUGACAUGGGCUA
rnacentral:rRNA from 1 species